rnacentral:rRNA from 1 species
UACGUAGGGUGCGAGCGUUAAUCGGAAUUACUGGGCGUAAAGCGUGCGCAGGCGGUUCGUUGUGUCGGCGGGGAAAGCCCCGGGCUUAACCUGGGAAUGGCCGUCGAAACUGGCGAACUGGAGUGUGGCAGAGGGGGGUGGAAUUCCGCGUGUAGCAGUGAAAUGCGUAGAGAUGCGGAGGAACACCGAUGGCGAAGGCAGCCCCCUGGGCUGACACUGACGCUGAGGUGCGAAAGCAUGGGGAGCAAACAGG